rnacentral:lncRNA from 1 species
AAAGAACCAGAACGCGGAAAAAAACUCUCCUUUUCUUCCAAACUGUGCACGAGAGAAGCGUGAGAGAACCGCCGCCUUCUUCCUCAAAAAUCGACCACCACCCACCACCUAGACCACCAGACCCUACUUCCAUUCAAACCUCCUCGCCUCUCUCUUUAACCUCUUGUCAUCACCUGGCCACGGAGUUGUUGAAAACAACCCCAAUCACCACCCAAAACCACGCUAACAGUCACCGUUUUCGUCGUAUUUCCACUGUUGGCGACCACCAUUUCGAUCGCGAACCAUGACGACUUCACCCUUCUCAACCAGGCGCAUCCAGUACCACCAUGGGUCACCUGCAAUUUUGUCCAAAAUCGUGUGUGCUUGUGAAAGCAGUCCGUGAGUUGUGAAAUAGAUUUGAUCCCAACAAAACUGAUGAAAUUUUAUUGACAGGUAAGCAUUUCUUUUUUUGUUUAACUUUCGAAUAACCCUGAAGCUUCAAAAUGGCACCCAAAGUUCUAAUGGUAAGCACAUUUAAAAAUUAUCCAAAUCUUCUUACUUCAAUCUCAAGAAUUUUUGUAAUUUGCUUUCGUUCAGGUAUUUUUCACCAACUUGUAUAUGUGUAUGUAUGAUGUAUGUGUAUAUGGUGUUUGUGAUUUUUAGGUAGCAGAGAAGUCAAGCAUUGCUCUCUCAAUUGCGUUGGUACUCUUUGGCGGUCAAGUAUGCUCUUUUUUUUUUUUUUUUUUUUUUUUUUAAAUUACUGUUUUCUGUGGUAAUGACCUAAACAUUUCUGUUGCUAUUAGAAGGCUGUUCUGUUUUUAUUUGCUUUCAACGUUUCUAGAGAAAUUAAUACAGAAGAAUAGUGUGUUUGCAAGUGAUUCCACAAAUUGGUGCCAAGGCAUGGUGUUUUUGGAGCUGUUUUAAUGAGGGAAGAAAUGGGAAAAUGAAAUAAUGGGUUGAAUUUGGGGACAAAUUUCUCGUCUUACCUGGGCACCGCCCCACUUCAUGAUAUUCGAAAAAUGCUGUCUUUCUUUAUUUUGUGAGAUAUAAUUUGUUGUUUGGAUAGGCUUUAUUGUGGGACUUGGAUAUUGGACCAUAGCUGAGAUGACUCUAUCCUCUAGUUUAAGGCACUGCUUUCUGGUAGUUUAUGAUAUGGCAUGCUGGAGUGUCAAUGAGUUAUUGUGGACUGAGCUUCCGCUUUAUACUAGAAACAAAGCUUGAACUCUAAAAGCUGAGCUUGGACGAACCUGAUCUUGACCAUGUCAAGUCUAUAGAAUGAGUAAUUACUGGAAUGGUAUUGCUAUUAUGCAUUUGCUUAUUUCUAGAAUGAGUCACUUGGUUCCUUUUAAAUUGCUUGUGAAGUUCCUUGUGAAAUUCACUUAAGCUCAUUAUCAACUUGUUUGUGUGCUCUAUUUACCAAUAACUCUGAAAAGUACUUUGAAUAAAGGAGCUUAUUUCAUUACAGAUAUUGCCCCAGAGGGGUGGUACUGAGGUCCAUGAGUUUGAUGGAAAUUUUUUUGGGAUUUUCUGCACAAUAUAAAGUGAUCUCUGUGAUCGGUCAUGUUUUCAGGUUUUUAAGAUUCUUCUUAACUUCAAGGCUAUCUUUUUGGAUAUUGUCAGUAGUCAUAAUGCUUAAACUGGUAUUCUUUGCUUUGUCAUAUGAUAAAUGCAUAGUGCCCAUGAAUUUUAACAAUAUAAUUGUGAAAAUAGCACCAAUUUACAUGCUCAUCAUGCCCAUGAGAAGAAAGUGAAUAAAAACUACGUCGAAAAUGCAAGAUCGAUAAAUAGAUUGCACUGUUAAGCAAGAAUACUCCUAAAUACUAGGCUGAUAAGGAACUACACGUUAACAAUUAUCUCGAGAACUCCAUGCAGAAAAUACAUUUGUUAUAAUCAAAGCCUAAAAGAAGUCAACACAUACUGUACGAGCUGAGAUUCAUCUGUCUAACUAAUGUGAUUUGGAAUGCCAUGCUGUGAUUUGGCAUAACUCGUUUAAAAUUCUGCUUCUUUUUAAAGUUUCUUUUGGUAACAUUAAGGCCUCUACUUGACCUUCCAUGUAAUGGUUUGAUAGUGUCUCAUAUUAGUGUAAGGCUACUAUCACUGCUAUUGGUUCUUAAUUUGUGCAGCUUCAGUUUGGCCAGAAUUUAUCUUUUUCUCAAUGAAACUAGAUUGUAAAUGAAAAGCACAAAUAGGCAAUGUAUGUAUUACUUCCUUCGACUGGAGUUGUAGUGGAUAUAAAACUUGAUUGUGAGUAU